AUUGAACGCUGGCGGCAGGCUUAACACAUGCAAGUCGAGCGGGGUGAUGGUGCUUGCACUAUCACUUAGCGGCGGACGGGUGAGUAAUGCUUAGGAAUCUGCCUAUUAGUGGGGGACAACAUCUCGAAGGGGAUGCUAAUACCGCAUACGUCCUACGGGAGAAAGCAGGGGAGCACUUGUGACCUUGCGCUAAUAGAUGAGCCUAAGUCGGAUUAGCUAGUAGGUGGGGUAAAGGCCUACCAAGGCGACGAUCUGUAGCGGGUCUGAGAGGAUGAUCCGCCACACUGGGACUGAGACACGGCCCAGACUCCUACGGGAGGCAGCAGUGGGGAAUAUUGGACAAUGGGGGGAACCCUGAUCCAGCCAUGCCGCGUGUGUGAAGAAGGCCUUAUGGUUGUAAAGCACUUUAAGCGAGGAGGAGGCUCUUUUGGUUAAUACCCAAGAUGAGUGGACGUUACUCGCAGAAUAAGCACCGGCUAACUCUGUGCCAGCCGCCGCGGUAA
rnacentral:rRNA from 1 species